CGUCAUCGGAAGCAUGUUUUGGUUGAUCAUGCGCUAACUUCUCCCUGUUUUGUUUGUGUGUGCGCAAGUAUUGUACCACCGCGUGCAUGGCACUGAACCGAAACACGCCUAUUCCGAAAUCUACGAUCAACCCAUCCGGUGGGUCUAUAAUUAGGCGUUCGAAUUGGCAGCCUACCUCAGCAGUACGGGCAGAGCAGUGCUUUCAUUGAAGCGGUAUUUCUUUUUUGCAUGUUCCGUGCUUACCCGCCGGCCUGCCAGCCUGCCUGUCUGUCUGUGUACACAUUCCGGCACAUCUACGCUGCCCCGCCGCCUCCUCAACAAGCCAACGAAGAGCAACAGAAACUCCUCGAAGGUGGCCCCCGUGUAGUGUGUGACGGGGGAAUUUUCUUCUUGGCACUGCUUCUUGGCUUACCUGCAAACCUUGCGUCGGAAAAAGUAUCGUACGAUGUUUCGUGACGUCAGACGUGGCAAGAGCGCGUACAACAUGCGCGGUCAGCUCAAUCUUUUCGCUUGCCAUUUACCAGAAGAGGCCCAAGAAGAGGUGUGUCCGUGGCAUGAAACGGGCGGUAGUCCGUCGCGCGCUUGCAACUCUCAGUUUUAGGAAGCGGACGUCUACGUUACUUCCUCCGGGGGAGAAGCCUAAAGCCGCAAAGACAAAUGUUUGCACAAAUGGAUAACUUUGUACCAGCGACACUGACACCGCUUGAUGUGCAAGUCU